rnacentral:rRNA from 1 species
GUCCACGCCGUAAACGAUGAAUACUAGGUGUCGGGCGUCAAAACUCGGUGCCGCAGCAAACGCAUUAAGUAUUCCGCCUGGGGAGUACGCACGCAAGUGUGAAACUCAAAGGAAUUGACGGGGACCCGCACAAGCAGCGGAGCAUGUGGUUUAAUUCGAAGCAACGCGAAGAACCUUACCAGGUCUUGACAUCUCUCUGACCGAUCCUUAGCCGGAUCUUUCCUUCGGGACAGGGAUGACAGGUGGUGCAUGGUUGUCGU